GACGAACGCUGGCGGCGUGCUUAACACAUGCAAGUCGAACGGAAAGGCCCUGCUUUUGUUGGUUUCUCGAGUGGCGAACGGGUGAGUAACACGUGAGUAACCUGCCCUUGUCUUUGGGGUAUAUUCUGGAAACUGGGGCGAUUACCGCAUAGAAUCUCUUGCUCCAUGUGGGGGGUUGGAAAGUUUCGGCGGUUGUGGCUGGACUCGCGGCUUACCAGCUGGUUGGUGGGGUAGUGGCUUACAAAGGCUUCGACGGAUAGCCGGCAUGAGAGGGGGACCGGCCACAAGGGGACUGAGAGACGGACCAGAAUCCUACGGGAGGCAGCAGUGGGGAAUAUUGCACAAUGGGCGGAAGCCUGAGGCAGCAACGUCGGGUGCGGGAUGACGGGCUUCGGGGUGUAAACAGAUUUCGCAGGUGAUGAAGAGUGAGUGACGGUAAUGGGUAAAGAAGCAACGGCUAACUACGUG
rnacentral:rRNA from 1 species